UACCCUGUAGAUCCAAAUUUGUGA
rnacentral:ncRNA from 2 species